GAUGAACGCUGGCGGCGUGCCUAAUACAUGCAAGUCGAGCGAACAGACGAGGAGCUUGCUCCUCUGACGUUAGCGGCGGACGGGUGAGUAACACGUGGUUAACCUACCUAUAAGACUGGGAUAACUUCGGGAAACCGGAGCUAAUACCGGAUAAUAUAUUGAACCGCAUGGUUCAAUAGUUAAAGACGGUUUUGCUGUCACUUAUAGAUGGAUCCGCGCCGCAUUAGCUAGUUGGUAAGGUAACGGCUUACCAAGGCGACGAUGCGUAGCCGACCUGAGAGGGUGAACGGCCACACGGGAACUGAGACACGGUCCAGACUCCUACGGGAGGCAGCAGUAGGGAAUCUUCCGCAAUGGGCGAAAGCCUGACGGAGCAACGCCGCGUGAGGGAUGAAGGUCUUCGGAUCGUAGAACUCUGUUAUUAGGGAAGAACAAAUGCGUAAGUAACUAUGCACGUCUUGACGGUACCUAAUCAGAAAGCCACGGCUAACUACGUG
rnacentral:rRNA from 1 species